AAUGCACCAAUUUGUAAGUCGCUCUGGAUAAGAGCGUCUGCUAAAUGACUUACA
rfam:Salmo salar isolate Sally breed double haploid chromosome ssa17, whole genome shotgun sequence.